rnacentral:rRNA from 1 species
AUUGAACGCUGGCGGCAGGCCUAACACAUGCAAGUCGAGCGAGCGGCGGACGGGUGAGUAAUGUAUGGGGAUCUGCCCGAUAGCGGGGGAUAACUACUGGAAACGGUGGCUAAUACCGCAUACUAUCGGAUGUGCCCAUAUGGGAUUAGCUAGUAGGUGGGGUAAAGGCUCACCUAGGCGACGAUCGCUAGCUGGUCUGAGAGGAUGAUCAGCCACACUGGGACUGAGACACGGCCCAGACUCCUACGGGAGGUAGCAGUGGGGAAUAGUGCACAAUGGGCGCAAGCCUGAUGCAGCCAUGCCGCGUGUAUGAAGAAGGCCUUAGGGUUGUAAAGUACUUUCAGCGGGGAGGCGUUACCCGCAGAAGAAGCACCGGCUAACUCCGUGCCAGCCGCCGCGGUAAUUC